CCUACGGGAGGCAGCAGUGAGGAAUAUUGGUCAAUGGCCGAGAGGCUGAACCAGCCAAGUCGCGUGAGGGAAGACGGCCCUACGGGUUGUAAACCUCUUUUGUCGGGGAGCAAAGCGAACCACGUGUGGUUCAUUGAGAGUACCCGAAGAAAAAGCAUCGGCUAACUCCGUGCCAGCAGCCGCGGUAAUACGGAGGAUCCGAGCGUUAUCCGGAUUUAUUGGGUUUAAAGGGAGCGUAGGUGGAUUGUUAAGUCAGUUGUGAAAGUUUGCGGCUCAACCCCGUCGUGCCGUUGAAACUGAUGUUCUUGAGUGGGCGAGAAGUAUGCGGAAUGCGUGGUGUAGCGGUGAAAUGCAUAGAUAUCACGCAGAACUCCGAUUGCGAAGGCAGCAUACCGGCGCCCAACUGACGCUGAAGCACGAAAGCGUGGGUAUCGAACAGGAUUAGAUACCCUAGUAGUC
rnacentral:rRNA from 1 species